CCGCUGACGAGUGGCGCACGGGUGCGCAACGCGUAUAGAACCUACCCUGUACAGGGGGAUAGCCCGGAGAAAUCCGGAUUAAUACCCCGUGGUAAUUAGAAUCGGCAUCGGUUUUAAUUUAAAGUUUCGGCGGUACAGGAUGGCUAUGCGUCCUAUUAGUUAGAUGGUGAGGUAACGGCUCACCAUGGCAUCGAUAGGUAGGGGCCCUGAGAGGGGGAUCCCCCACACUGGUACUGAGACACGGACCAG
rnacentral:rRNA from 1 species